UGUAUGUGCGUGUGUGUGUGUGUGUGUGUGUGCGUUCGUGCUUGUGCGUACACGUGCUUGCAUGGUGCAAAUCAAGGUUUGUGCGUCUGUGUGUGUGUGUGUGCACCUGCGUGCGUGGGGUGGGAUGAGUAGGUGACGCAAAUCGAGUCGUUGGAGAUCAAAGUUGGAAAGUAAAGAAAACCCUCAAGCAGGUGCUUUCUUGUGGGACUCGCCUAGAAACCUGCGGCACUCCCGAUGGACUUCUUCCCCGGUGCGGAACGAGUUGCAACGCAAUGGCCCAGUGGCGCCACUAGCAAGGAAGGCGAUGUGCGUCUGAGUGCUGGUUUGCACACACACACACACACACGCGGAGGUGGGGACGACAUGAUGACGUACAACGUGAAAAUACGAAUUCCUAACAAAACGACUGAAGACGCUCUUCUUUCUCAAGAGAGGAAGAAAAGGAGAUGCAUAUUUUCGGUUCUGCUAUGCUCUGACGUCUUCCUUCGCAAGUGUGUGCGUGUGUGUGUGUGCAAAAUUAUGCGCCUGUGUGUCAUGGAGGGAACCAAGGGAGAAAGCAGCAGGUGCAAUCUAUCCCGGCCCCCACCCGCCCGUCCGCACCUGUCCUCCCUAACAACACCCUGUUUCCGUCUCCUGCUGCCAGACGCUCGAGGUCGCACAGGGUGGCGACGGAGACUUAUCCAAGCAAGAGCCACAAAAAAAAAAGAAAAGCAGAUGUACUGUCUCGACGAACCACCGCAACGCACGCAGGGGAUCUCCUGAGUACAUGAGCUCCCGAUGUGCAAGUGACUCUGUGUGCCUGGCAUUUCUCGCUUUUUGCCAGAGCUUCUCAGCGCCACCGUUCUCCCUCUCUCUGUUCACCGGUCCCCACCCAACCCCAUCCCCCUUUGCGGCGUGCGCAUGUUGACAUCAGAGAGAGGGAGCCAGGUCAUUGCAAAGGCGAGCGAAGAUGUGCGCGCACACGCUCGCUGCGAUCGUAGCGGCACCGCUUGUGCGGUAUGCAACCAUCGUCUCUCCGCCUCCCGCUCACGAUCAGCUGCCAUCCUCGCAAUCCCGAGUGCAUUC
rnacentral:misc_RNA from 1 species